UCCACUGAAAGAGCAUGAAAUCAAAAAGUGGGUGAGAAGGAGAAAACUAAACAGGUGAAGCUUACAGGAAGAAGAAGUUCUAGCACUGGCUGUGGGCAAGUAUGGAUCACAUUGGAGAGAAAUUUUAAAAGCCUAUCCUCUAGUGUUUAUGAAUAGAACUCCAGUUGAUCUCAAGGACAAAGGGAGAAACUUGACUGGAAAAUGAGAUCAUACUUGUGCUACCUCUUGUUGUUACACUGAAAGAGUGACUGUAGCGGAAUGCUUCUGAUUAAAGCUAACAAGACCCCGUAAUUCCCAAGCUUGGAAGCUAAAAUAGUGGUGUUUUUAGGCUAAGACCAAACAUCAUAGGAGAUAAAUACCGGGAAGAUUUUGGAGGCAAUAAAAAAUUGUUUGUGAUGGAGCUACAUCUUCGAUAUCGAAAUAACCCCCCACCUGCAUAAACUAAGAGAUCAAUGACACAACAGUGGCUGCAGCAGCAGUUUAAUGACUUGUUAUUGCACGAGCUAGAAGGAAAAUGCAAUGUGUGGACUCUGUGUCAGAGAAGCUAGUCAACUUGACAAAGAAGUAGGAAGAGCCGAACAUACCUUAUGGGACAAUGUGCCUUCUCAAGUUUUGGCUUGGAUCCCCAUGGCUUUCCGAAGGGCAAAUAAUGGAACAUGGAUCAGGUUUUGGAGAUUGCAAGGAUUAGAGUGGCGUCUUGGCCGAAUGCAAAAUGACCAAGGGACUAUCCGUCAGUUCUCGAUGUGUACAGACAGCCCCCUGCUCAAGGUCAGUUGGUGAAAAAGGGACAGGAAAGGAAGGGAAUACAAUGGGAAAAGCCCAUGUAUAGACAAAUGAAGUUUAACGUUGAUGGAGCAGCUAGAGGAUGUCCGGGGCCAGCAGGGAUAGGUGGGAUAUUGAGGGAUCAUAGAGGGUAUGUCAAAAUUAUUUUUUCCAAAGCUAUUGGUGGGGCUGACUCUAAUUUAGCUGAGAUGAUGGCAGUAAGGGAAGCUUUUUUGACUUAUUCAGUUUCAAGAUGGAAGGAAAAUCACAAACUUCUCAUUGAGAGCGAUUCUAGCAAUGCAGUUAAGUGGACUAAUCAUCCUGAUACGGCACCAUGGAGAAUGAGAAAAUUAAUUCUGCAAAUGGGGAGAUUGAAAAGAGAAGUUGAGGGUUGGGAGAUUCGACAUGUCAGAAGAGAGGCGAACCAGAGAACGGAUACAUUAGCCAAGGAGGGGGUUCAACUUCAGUCUGCUAUCUUGAGAACCUUCACAUAAGUUUGGAUUUCUUGCCUUGUGCUAGGGGUGUUUUGGGUUUUACUGGUGUUGCUUGAUUUGAAGGGAUGAAGCUGAACUCUCUGGCAUUAAGAUUGAAUGUGAUGUUGAUGCAGGGUGGUGUCCUUUUGCCUGACUGUGGACUAGCUCAUAUUGCUGUUUUUUGUUUUCAAUGUUUUUAAAGAAUUUUUAUGUGUAUAGGCUGCUGGUUUUUGGAAUGUUUCUUGUUUUCAGAGCCUUGUUUUUUGUAGGCCAGAGGCUUGGGUUGCUGGGUGGUAUGUUUUGUAUAUGAUUUUUGGGGUUGUGUUUUUGUUACUCCUGCAUGUCUUUACUUGUAAGCAGGAAAGUGGCCUUUUGGAGUUGAUUCUAGGUUGCCUCUGUUGUUUUGUUUUGCUUUAUGAUCCGGUGCAGGGUUGGAUGCAAGACAGGGCUGUUUUGUAUCAAACGAAUAUUGGGAGGGCAUGCCUGGCUUUAAGUUUGCGGGUAUACCUUCCAAUAUACUUUGUGAUUGUCUGCUUCUCUGGGAUGUAUUUUGAAAGGGGGGAAAAUUCUUCCCCCUCCUUUUAAUGA